CUUUGUAAAAUGGGUGUAAAGUGUUAGACAUUCAGCUUUGUCAGUAGAAGCCAUUAUUAUUAUUAUUAUUAUUAUUAUUAUUAUUAUUAUUGUCAAUUCUUUCAUUUCUCCUUAACCGGAUUCAAAACUCUAGUUGUUUUACCCAAUAUUUUUCUGACCAUAGAAAAUGUUGUGAAAGUUAAAAUACAUCUGGGUUGGUUUCUUCGACAUUGUUGAAUGUUAAAUUAAAAAUGCAUGCUUCUGUCUUAAGGUGGAUAUUUCUAAUUUUUUUAAUCAGCUUUGGAAAUGUUCAAAUGGUGUAUUUUGCAAGUGUGAGCUGUUUGCUUUUUCAUAUUCUGAAAAGCCUUUGUCACUUUAUCUUUUUUAAGAACAUUUUUGGUACUAGUGCCCUUUAUUUGACAGUAAUUUGACAGGAAGUUAGCAGAAUGAUAGGAAGAGGAAAGACAUGCGGCAAAAGAGCUGAGGAUAAGAGUCAAACAAGCAUAGCUGCGUUGAGCUCAUCUGCUCUAACCACUGUGCCAUGUGACACCUCAACAUCAUCCUUACUUUAGACAGAUCCAAAAUACUUUUACCGCUAGUUCACACAUAAACUUGAUAAAAGCCCUACCACUGUCCCAUUCAAAAAUAUUAGAAAAAUUCAGGUUCAGAUAAAAAGGAGGACGUUAGGCAUAACAUAACAGAAUGCUGCAUAACUUCACGAGUUUAAUUUAAAGCUAAUCCAGAAUUACAGAUUAGACUUUCCAGGCAUUGGUUCUGUACUACAAUAUUAUUAUUGUUGUUAUUUUACCAUUUAAAUUCAGCAGCGGUCAAUUUAAGCUACUGUAAUCAAAUUGAUGGAGUAUGGUCUGAGAAUAUGAGGAUAAAGUCUGUACAUUAACAAUGCUACUUAACCUUAUUCUGAUCAAGUUUUUGUUGUUGGCAAGGUGGGAGGGUAUGUGAACAAAAAUAUGUAUGUUUUCUUGUAAUUUUAGCCAUUUUGGGUGGCUAAUAAUUGUUUUUUUAUAGGUACAUAAUAAAAGUAUUGCUUGCUCUUGUUAAAAAAUAAGACCAUGAUUUUUUUAAAAAUAUUGUGACUAAUACAAUCACAUGUGCUAUUCUAACACUUUUGGACAUGCAGGUUUUUCAUUUCAAUUUCAACAACAAAAACUGGAGACAUUUUUUUAACAUUUUAUGUGAAAAGUCAUAAGCACAAUUGCUGGUAUGGAAUAAAUUUAAGCCGCCCUCUCAUCUAAAUUUUUUAAAGUAAAGAAAUGCAUAAUAAGAACAUUUUCCUCAGCUUUAUGAAGAGGAUUUACUUAGUUUAAACCUCAGACCAGUGCAUGGGUAGGUAUAAAGCUAUUAACAAAAUAAUUAAGCUAAGGCAUUAAACAAUUAAGCUCUGCAACAUGACAGUGAAUCCACCACAAACUGGAUGAAAAUUGUGAAGUUUAAAAAUUCUGGGCAGUGAAAGUUCAUAUUAUCAUCCUUUUGAGGCAGAGUUUAGUGACUUGAAAUGUAAUUUUUUAUAACUUCCAAUGAUACAAAAAUUAAACAAAGUAUUUCUUAUAUAACAAAGUAUUUCUUAUUAAAGAAUAGGGUUACAUAAUUUCUUUCAAGACUAUUUUGUGCAAUUUAAUUGACAAAAAAAUACUCCUGACACUAUGAGAAACACUAUGUUUAUUUUUGUAUUUACACUAAUUUAUUUUAUGCAGAUCUUCUACUUUACUGUAUUCAAACUGGAAAAAUCUAAGUUGCCAGGUUCCUAAAAUAUGUAAUCUAAUGUAGAAGCAGUUUUUCAAAAUGAAUCCACUCUCCUACUUUGGAGUUAAACUGCACGUGAAUGCAAUUAUUCUACAGAACACUAAGAAAUUCUAGAAACUUCAAUGCAUAUGUGAAAAGAGUUGGACUAGGUUGCACAUACUUUUUUUUCUUUACUACCAAGACAUUAAAUUGUUCCUUUGUUUUUUACAAAGCUGUUAUAAAGAAGGAACUAGAUGAGAUUAUGUGAUUAAUUAAAAGCUUUCUGCUUCUGUUAAUCGACAAC